CGAGGAGGUAGUGACAAGAAAUACCGAUGCGGGACCCUACGGGUGCCGCGUUCGGAAUGAGUACGAUUCGAACCACCUAACGAGGAACGAUCGGAGGGCAAGUCUGGUGCCAGCAGCCGCGGUAAUUCCAGCUCCAAUAGCGUACGUUAAAGUUGCUGCAGUUAAAAAAGCUCGUAGUUUGAACGUUCGGGUUCCGCGGGACGGGGCCGCCCCGCGAGGGACGGCGCCGCCCCGGGGCUCGUGAUAUCUCAUCUCGCCGCCCGUCGCGAGGCGGACGGAGGGAUGGAUGAGGUUACCUGGAAAAAAAUCGGGGCGAUUCUAGGCGGGCGAACCUCGCCAACGAACGAUCGGACAUGGGAUAACGGAAGAGGGCGUCGGCUCGACUUCGUCGGUUCCUCGGGCCGAGGCACGUACGGUGAAUAGGGGACGGUCGGGGGCCGCCCGUACCGGGUC
rnacentral:rRNA from 1 species